ACUCCUACGGGAGGCAGCAGUGGGGAAUAUUGCACAAUGGGCGCAAGCCUGAUGCAGCCAUGCCGCGUGUAUGAAGAAGGCCUUCGGGUUGUAAAGUACUUUCAGCAGUGAGGAAGGCGGUACGUUAAUAGUACGUGCUCGUUUGAUCGUUUAGCUGCAGAAGAAGACACCGGCGUAACUCCGUGCCAGCAGCCGCGGUAAUACGGAGGGUGCGAGCGUUAAUCGGAAUUACUGGGCGUAAAGCGCAUGCAGGUGGUUUGUUAAGUCAGAUGUGAAAGCCCGGGGCUCAACCUCGGAAUUGCAUUUGAAACUGGCAGACUAGAGUACUGUAGAGGGGGGUAGAAUUUCAGGUGUAGCGGUGAAAUGCGUAGAGAUCUGAAGGAAUACCGGUGGCGAAGGCGGCCCCCUGGACAGAUACUGACACUCAGAUGCGAAAGCGUGGGGAGCAAACAGGAUUGGAUACCCUGGUAGCUACGAGU
rnacentral:rRNA from 1 species